rnacentral:rRNA from 1 species
CCUACGGGAGGCAGCAGUGGGGAAUAUUGCACAAUGGGGGAAACCCUGAUGCAGCGACGCCGCGUGAGUGAAGAAGUAUCUCGUUAUGUAAAGCUCUAUCAGCAGGGAAGAAAAUGACGGUACCUGAGUCAGAAGCCACGGCUAACUACGUGCCAGCAGCCGCGGGAAUACGUAGGGAGCAAGCGUUAUCCGGAUUUACUGGGUGUAAAGGGAGCGUAGACGGCAGUGCAAGUCUGGAGUGAAAGGCGGGGGCUCAACCCCCGGACUGCUCUGGAGACUGUACGGCUGGAGUGCAGGAGAGGUAAGUGGAAUGACUGGUGUAGCGGUGAAAUGCGUAGAUAUUAGGAGGAACACCAGUGGCGAAGGCGGCUUACUGGACUGUAACUGACGUUGAGGCACGAAAGCGUGGGGAGCAAACAGGAUUAGAUACCCCUGUAGUC